rnacentral:rRNA from 1 species
UCCGGUGAUGAUGGCCUAGAGGUCCCACCUGUUCCCAUCCCGAACACAGUAGUUAAGCUCUAGCACGCCGAAAGUACUUGGGACGUCGGUCCCUGGGAGGAUAGGUCGUUGCCGGUU